GACGAACGCUGGCGGCGUGCUUAACACAUGCAAGUCGAGCGGUAAGGCCCUUUCGGGGGUACACGAGCGGCGAACGGGUGAGUAACACGUGGGUGACCUGCCCUCAGCUCUGGGAUAAGCCUGGGAAACUGGGUCUAAUACCGGAUAUGACUCCAUGACGCAUGUUGUGGGGUGGAAAGCCUUGUGCGGCUGAGGAUGGGCCCGCGGCCUAUCAGCUUGUUGGUGGGGGAUGGCCUACCAAGGCGACGACGGGUAGCCGGCCUGAGAGGGCGACCGGCCACACUGGGACUGAGACACGGCCCAGACUCCUACGGGAGGCAGCAGUGGGAAAUCUUGCGCAAUGGGCGAAAGCCUGACGCAGCGACGCCGCGUGAGGGAUGACGGCCUGGUUGUAACC
rnacentral:rRNA from 1 species